rnacentral:rRNA from 1 species
UACAGAGGUCACAAGCGUUAUCCGGAUUUAUUGGGCGUAAAGCGUCUCGUAGGUGGGUUUGUAAGUUACUUUUCAAAGACCAAGGCUCAACCAUGGGAAGGGAGGUAAUACUACAAGUCUUGAUUUAUGGUGGGGUAUCUGGAACUGAUAGUGUAGCAGUGAAAUGCGUUGAUAUUAUCAGGAACUCCAAGGGCGAAGGCAGGAUACUAACCAUGUAAUGACACUGAGGAACGACAGCUAGGGGAGCGAAAGGG